CAAAAUCGCAGAUCUGGCCAACGUACCAGACAGGGAGAGGGCAUUGAGACACGCAGCCACAGAAUGUUCCAGUAUGGAGAAGUGUCUUUCAGCUGGACAACAGAAGACUUUUGCUGACAAGUAGAAGAGCUGCUCCUUUCCUCUCCUCCAUCGUGUAACUAAGAGACGUGGUCACGACAUCCUCAGCCUGGCACAUCGAUGAACAGUGGCAGACGGGGGAACAGGGGACAGUGACAUCACCAUUCUUGGAUCACCAUGGUGACACCACCAACCAGGAAUUACCCUGAUGACAUCAUCUACUUGGG